rnacentral:rRNA from 1 species
CCAAUAGCGUAUAUUAAAGUUGUUGCAGUUAAAAAGCUCGUAGUUGAAUUUCGGGAUCAAGGGAUCGGUCAUGCCUUGGUAUGUACUGGUCUUAUUGGUUCUCACCUUCUAAAGAACCAUGAUGUCAUUCAUUUGAUGUUAUGGGGAAUUAGGACUGUUACCUUGAAAAAAUUAGAGUGUUUAAAGCAAGCUUACGCUUGAAUACAUUAGCAUGGAAUAAUGAAAUAGGACAUCAGAUUCUAUUUUGUUGGUUUCUAGGAUCGAUGUAAUGAUUAAUAGGGAUAGUUGGGGGCAUUAGUAUUCAAUUGUCAGAGGUGAAAUUCUUGGAUUUAUUGAAGACUAACUACUGCGAAAGCAUUUGCCAAGGAUGUUUUCAUUAAUCAAGAACGAAAGUUAGGGGAUCGAAGACGAUCAGAUACCGUCGUAGUCUUAACCAUAGACUAUGCCGACUAGGGAUCGGAUGAUGUUAAUUUUUUAAUGACUCAUUCGGCACCUUACG